rnacentral:lncRNA from 1 species
UCUUUAUACACAGUACAAGAAAAUGUUGGAAAUUGACAAGGAGAAAGACACUGAGAGAAAAACAAACAUUCUGAUUUUGCCCAAAUCACCCAGACCAACUACAGGUAAUGACAAAAGGAACCAACUGGCAAUGAGGAUAGUUUAGACAUCUUCAAGGAAGGAGACAAGAUCUUAAAAAAGAAAGCCU